AAUAGCAAAAACUACGACUUUAUUCGGCAUUGUCUUCUCUUCCGUGUCUUGUUAUGAGCGCGGGUAAACCGAAGGCUUGAAUCAAGGGCAAUCAUCGCAAAUGACACCAUUACGUCGAGCGCAAAAGAACUGGUGAACCGUUUUCUUCAACCGGUUUAUUGAAUCGAACUGUCUGAAAGAAUUACUGGUUAUCCGAAAACCGAUGCAACCGGUUCUUGACUCGUGAACGAGUCAGUCUAUUGUUCGUUAUCUGGCUCGGCUCGGUGUUCAUCUUCAGUUCUCUCUUCACAGCAGUUCAGUCAGUGUACUGUUUGAGUGCAUGCAUUACUCCGGGAUAUU